UACGUAGGGUGCGAGCGUUAAUCGGAAUUACUGGGCGUAAAGCGUGCGCAGGCGGUUUUGUAAGCCAGAUGUGAAAUCCCCGGGCUCAACCUGGGAAUGGCAUUGGAAACUGGCGGACUCGAGUGUGGCAGAGGGGGGUGGAAUUCCGCGUGUAGCAGUGAAAUGCGUAGAGAUGCGGAGGAACACCGAUGGCGAAGGCAGCCCCCUGGGCUAACACUGACGCUCAGGCACGAAAGCGUGGGGAGCAAACAGG
rnacentral:rRNA from 1 species